AGAAAUCUAGCCAUCUACGUACUGAAGUAGAGUGAAUUGUAUAACUACUCGUAUAUAGACUAGAAGGAAUUAAUGUAGUAUCCAUUAGCCAUGCCUUUCAUAUUGGAUAUGAAUUGUCAGUUGAGGCAGAAUACUCAAAGAGAUUACUACAAGAAGAGCUAAGAGUUUCCAGGCUACCUGUGUCAUUCUUGAUAGGUAAGACACAAGAACAACGGAAGAUGGAAGUUGUGAAGACCCUACUUAAUAUUGGUUUCUCGCAGCUAGAUUUUCACAUAUUCUAGGAAUCUUGUAUUGUAGAACCUUUGCAACUUGUGUACACUAAUUCUUGACUUAUGAAACAAUAUUCUAUAUUUUGCUUUUAUAUGUGAAACAAUAUCCUCUCGUGAUUUAUACAA